UUUUAAAUAUAGUCAUUACUGAAUUUUUAAACUAAUUUUUUUUUCUUUUAUUUUGUAUUGGUUAUUAAAUGAAAUUGAUUCCGUUUACAAUUUUAAGUUUCCGGAAACAUAAUUUCAAGAUGAAAACUGCAUAUACUAUGCUACGUUUUAAAAAAAGGGUAUAUAUAGUAUGCAGUAAGGUAUCUAGUUAUAAUUACAUGCAAUUUUAUGACUUA
rnacentral:lncRNA from 1 species